GGUCCGAUGCCGCGUCGAUUGUAGCCAAAGAGCAUUGACCGGCGAUGCUAUGAUCGGACCGAAGUGAAUAUCAUGUUUCGCUUGCUGAUAGGAACCUGUGGAUCUGUAUAAUUGUGAUCUACGGUGCCGUUUUGGGCGAUUACAGCU